UGUCAUAGGGGGGUAGAAUUCCACGUGUAGCAAUAAAGUAGGGAGAGAUGUGGAGGAAUACCGAUGGAGCAGGCAGCCCCUAGGCAUAACACUAAGUCUCAUGCACGAAAGAGUGGGGAGCAAACAGGAUUAGAUCACGUGGUAGUCCACGCGUUGAACGAUGUCAACUAGUUGUCGGGUAUUAAUUGACUUGGUAAUGCAGGUAACGGAGGAAUUGGACCGCCUGGGGAGUACGGUGUCAAGAUUAAAACUCAAAGGAAUUGACGGGGACCCGCACAAGCGGCGGAUGAUGUAGAUUAAUUCGAUGCUACGCGAAAAACCUUACCUACCCUUGACAUGGUUGGAAUUCUUCAGAGAUGAGAAAGUGCUCGAAAGAGAACCAAUACACAGGUGCUGCAUGGCUGUCGUCAUCUCGUGUCGUGAGAUGUUGGGUUAAGUCCUGCAACGAGCGCAACCCUUGUCAUUAGUUGCUACGAAAGGGCACUCUAAUGAGACUGCCGGUGACAAACCGGAGGAAGGUGGGGAUGACGUCAAGUCCUCAUGGCCCUUAUGGGUAGGGCUUCACAGGUCAUACAAUGGUACAUACAGAGGGUCGCCAACCCGCGAGGGGGAGUUAAUCCCAGAAAGUGUAUAGUAGUCCGGACAGUAGUCUGCAACUUGACUACAUGAAGUUGGAAUCGCUAGUAAUCGCGGAUCAGCAUGAUCAGGUGAAUACGUUCCCGGGUCUUGUACACNCCGCCCGUCACACCAUGGGAGCGGGUUUUACCUGAAGUAGGUAGCUUAACGGCAAGGAGGGCGCCUACCACGGUAGGAUUCGUGAUUGGGGGAAGUCGUAACAAGGUAACC
rnacentral:rRNA from 1 species